rnacentral:rRNA from 1 species
UACGUAGGUGGCAAGCGUUGUCCGGAUUUAUUGGGCGUAAAGCGAUCGCAGGCGGUUCCUUAAGUCUGAUGUGAAAGCCCACGGCUCAACCGUGGAAGGUCAUUGGAAACUGGGGAACUUGAGUGCAGAAGAGGAGAGUGGAAUUCCAUGUGUAGCGGUGAAAUGCGUAGAUAUAUGGAGGAACACCAGUGGCGAAGGCGACUCUCUGGUCUGUAACUCACGCUGAGGCUCGAAAGCGUGGGGAGCAAACAGGAUUAGA